GAUGAACGCUAGCGGGAGGCUUAACACAUGCAAGUCGAGGGGCAUCACGAGGUAGCAAUACUUUGGUGGCGACCGGCGCACGGGUGAGUAACACGUAUGCAACCUACCCUGUACAGGGGGAUAACCCGGAGAAAUUCGGACUAAUAUCCCAUGCAAUUAUUGGAGGGCAUCCUUUGAUAAUUAAAGCUCAGGCGGUAUAGGAUGGGCAUGCGGAACAUUAGCUAGUUGGUAGGGUAACGGCCUACCAAGGCUACGAUGUUUAGGGGACCUGAGAGGGUUAUCCCCCACACUGGUACUGAGACACGGACCAGACUCCUACGGGAGGCAGCAGUGAGGAAUAUUGGUCAAUGGGCGCAAGCCUGAACCAGCCAUCCCGCGUGAAGGAAGAAGGCCCUAUGGGUUGUAAACUUCUUUUCCAGGGGGUGAAUAAUUCCGAUGUAUCGGGAGAUGACGGUACCCUGGGAAUAAGCAUCGGCUAACUCCGUGCCAGCAGCCGCGGUAAAACGUAG
rnacentral:rRNA from 1 species